rnacentral:rRNA from 1 species
UACAACUUUCAGCAACGGAUCUCUUGGCUCUCGCAUCGAUGAAGAACGCAGCGAAUUGCGAUAAGUAAUGUGAAUUGCAGAUUUUCAGUGAAUCAUCGAUCUUGACGCA